rnacentral:rRNA from 1 species
UACGUAGGCAGCAAGCGUUGUUCGGAAUUACUGGGCGUAAAGAGUGUGUAGGCGGUGCCGUAAGUUUGGCGUGAAAUCUCCCGGCUUAACUGGGAGGGUGCGCCGAAGACUGCGGUGCUUGAGGAUCGGAGAGGAAAGUGGAAUUUCUGGUGUAGCGGUGAAAUGCGUAGAUAUCAGAAGGAACACCUGUGGUGUAGACGGCUUUCUGGACGAUUCCUGACGCUGAGACACGAAAGCGUGGGUAGCAAACAGG